GACGAACGCUGGCGGCGUGCUUAACACAUGCAAGUCGAACGGAAAGGCCUUUUCGGAGGUACUCGAGUGGCGAACGGGUGAGUAACACGUGGGUGAUCUGCCCUGCACUCUGGGAUAAGCCUGGGAAACUGGGUCUAAUACCGGAUAGGACCGCACUUUAGUGUGUGUGGUGGAAAGUUUUUUCGGUGUAGGAUGAGCCCGCGGCCUAUCAGUUUGUUGGUGGGGUAAUGGCCUACCAAGGCGGCGACGGGUAGCCGGACUGAGAGGUUGGUCGGCCACAUUGGGACUGAGAUACGGCCCAGACUCCUACGGGAGGCAGCAGUGGGGAAUAUUGCACAAUGGGCGCAAGCCUGAUGCAGCGACGCCGCGUGGGGGAUGACGGCCUUCGGGUUGUAAACUCCUUUCGCCAGGGACGAAGCGUUUUGUGACGGUACCUGGAGAAGAAGCACCGGCUAACUACGUG
rnacentral:rRNA from 1 species